rnacentral:rRNA from 1 species
GACGAACCACACGAACGUUAUUCGGAAUUACUGGGCUUAAAGGGUGCGUAGGCGGCGCAGAAAGUUUGGUGUGAAAUCCCUCGGCUCAACCGAGGAACUGCGCCCAAAACUACUGUGCUUGAGGAAGAUAGAGGUAAGCGGAACUUACGGUGGAGCGGUGAAAUGCGUUGAUAUCGUAAGGAACACCUGUGGCGAAAGCGGCUUACUGGGUCUUUUCUGACGCUGAUGCACGAAAGCCAGGGGAGCAAACGGG